CUGAUGCGAGAGUAAGAGUAACAUAAAGCAAUUUGGCGACCGUGUUAAUCUCUUGUUGCAUGGGAUGCGCUGCAUACCUGGUAAACAGUAGUGUUAUUCCAGAUCCAUGCCAUCGCCAGGGAGACCUUUACCUGUGAUGUCUGUGGGAAGAGCUUGGCCACUAAACCAUCGCUGGUCAGCCAUCAACAGCUACACCAGUACCCCAACAUCAUUUUGUACCGGCAAGGAGAGGCCAGGCUGUACUGUACAGAGGCAGCAAGGUCUGUGGCAGAGGCCCGCAGCAGCACUGUUGUUGACCCUAAAUGGCUGGAUCUCAAGACAGCAGAGGCGCUGCCAAGAGGUCGGGGGCUGAGCUGUGGAAAGGUCAGCUGGUCAUCACGUUCGGGUAGUACGCCGGUCAGACCUUCAGGUGGCUUGUGGAGAAUGAUGUCGGCUGGCUGGUGUGGCUGCUGUUCCAGUACUGCCAGCAGGGAGAGCAGAAGGAGCUGCUGAAGUGGCAGAAGGAGCGACUGCUCCUUCGGCCACAAGGUGACUCCUCACCUGAAAGUGCUGUCGGACGCACCGUUCCCGGAGGCUCCUGCGCUGCCAACAUCCCUCCCUCCGCCAGACCGGCCUCAGGUCCAGUACCGGCUCAUCCAUCACGAGGCUGGAAAGAGACGUGGUGAGAAGCGGAGAUUAUUUGUUGAUGAGCCACAGCCUGUGACUCCCGCGAACCGACCCGUUCAGCCCACUGGGUUGUCGUCCUCCACCCGGCCGAAGCCUGCUGCGCUCACCCCCAUUCUGCCGAGGCCUUCUGCGCCUACCCACCUCCAGCCGAGGCCACCCGCUGCGUUGACCUACGGCCCACCCCCUGUGUCGGCAGCACCCAUACUGCAGGUCUUCCCCGCACAGCCACAGGCGCCCUCCGUCCUGUUUCGUGGGACAUCCUGCAGCCAGAGCUUUGUCCCUCCUGCACCAACAGUGAAGGCAUUCAUGCCUAACAAGUCCUCAAGGCCAUGUGGGGCUUGCCACAUGCCAAACUGUGGUGGACAGUGGAAGAGGUACAACCCUUUCAAGG